rnacentral:rRNA from 1 species
GAUGAACGCUGGCGGCGUGCCUAAUACAUGCAAGUCGAGCGAACAGACGAGGAGCUUGCUCCUCUGACGUUAGCGGCGGACGGGUGAGUAACACGUGGAUAACCUACCUAUAAGACUGGGAUAACGUCGGGAAACCGGAGCUAAUACCGGAUAAUAUAUUGAACCGCAUGGUUCAAUAGUGAAAGACGGUUUUGCUGUCACUUAUAGAUGGAUCCGCGCCGCAUUAGCUAGUUGGUAAGGUAACGGCCUACCAAGGCGACGAUGCGUAGCCGACCUGAGAGGGUGAUCAGCCACACUGGAACUGAGACACGGUCCAGACUCCUACGGGAGGCAGCAGUAGGGAAUCUUCCGCAAUGGGCGAAAGCCUGACGGAGCCACGCCGCGUGAGUGAUGAAGGUCUUCGGAUCGUAAAACUCUGUUAUUAGGGAAGAACAAAUGUGUAAGUAACUAUGCACGUCUUGACGGUACCUAAUCAGAAAGCCACGGCUAACUACGUG